AUUGAACGCUGGUGGCAUGCCUUACACAUGCAAGUCGAACGGUAACGCGGGGCAACCUGGCGACGAGUGGCGAACGGGUGAGUAAUGUAUCGGAACGUGCCCAGUUGUGGGGGAUAACUGCUCGAAAGAGCAGCUAACACCGCAUACGACCUGAGGGUGAAAGCGGGGGAUCGCAAGACCUCGCGCAAUUGGAGCGGCCGAUAUCAGAUUAGGUAGUUGGUGGGGUAAAGGCCUACCAAGCCUACGAUCUGUAGCUGGUCUGAGAGGACGACCAGCCACACUGGGACCGAGACACGGCCCAGACUCCUACGGGAGGCAGCAGUGGGGAAUUUUGGACAAUGGGGGUAACCCUGAUCCAGCCAUGCCGCGUGCGGGAAGAAGGCCUUCGGGUUGUAAACCGCUUUUGUCAGGGAAGAAAUCCUUAGAACUAAUACUUCGGAGGGAUGACGGUACCUGAAGAAUAAGCACCGGCUAACUACGUGCCAGCCGCCGCCGUAA
rnacentral:rRNA from 1 species